rnacentral:rRNA from 1 species
UACGUAGGUGGCGAGCGUUGUCCGGAUUCACUGGGCGUAAAGGGUGCGCAGGCGGCCAAGUGUGUGAGGCGUGAAAGCCCGGGGCUUAACCCCGGAAUUGCACCUCAAACUACAUGGCUAGAGCAUUGGAGAGGGUAGCGGAAUUCACGGUGUAGCAGUGAAAUGCGUAGAUAUCAGGAGGAACACCGGUGGCGAAGGCGGGUCUCUGGGCCGUAACUGACGCUGAGGAGCGAAAGCGUGGGGAGCGAACAGG